GUUAUAUGUUCACCAUUCUGAUGACAUUAAGAGAAGAAGCUUGUCUAGAGUCUGACCGAUUUUGAAGUGACAUUAAAAUUUGACAUAAUACUUUGGAAGGUUUAAAAGAAGAAAGGAUGUUGCUACCUGAGUAAAUCUUAGUGGUCAAGUUGCAGAUUGCAGCCAACUGAAUGUAGCUUGCCAUCCAAGUGUGAAAAAGAAACUGGCAAAAGAAUAAACAUGUAGAAACAUGGAAGUUCAACAUGGCAGACUUCAUAGGAGAGGACCCACUCCCUCUGAGCCGUUAUGAUCUACAUUCUAAGCAUGGAAGGCUACCUUUGACCUUCAAGGUGUUGCCCUCCAAUCAUCACACAUGCAUGCUUGUACAUCUACGCGCCGCCCUCAGGGAGAGAAGUCCCCCAAGCUCCCAGGUUUCUGUGCCCUGCCUGGAGGAUGUGUACCUGAGCGAUGAAGCUGCAAAUCAUGAGUACUGAGGAUUCCUGCAAAAUCACUGCAGCUGUUCACAUAUAUUGCUUUGAUAUUACAGUUCCUUUGAUGUAAAACCCUUAAGGGCUUGGAUUGCAUUUUGCCUUUGAGAGCACUGAAAAAUCUCCAGCUCUACUUUGAAGCAGAGACAGUGGCCUGGAACAGCGUGAUCUCUGUCUCCAGGGCAAACACAAGAACAUGAAGAUGCCAAAUGCUACAGCAAAAUAAAAAUCUAUUUGGUGCAGAACCUUAACAGACUGUAAAUAAACAGACUUAUGAUUGCACUUGGUUGUUGAAAUACAUUCAAUUUGGCAAAACUGACCACACUGUAUGUCUUUUAUUCCCUCCAGUAAGCAGUGUUGAAAAGGUCGGAACCCAGACAAUGAUCGACCAAAAUUCACUUUUUAAAGGAAUUAGAAACUCCUUAGCUCUUUCAAGCAUCCUCUUUAGCAAAUGGUCUGAACGGCCAAUAUUCUACUUGAGGUAAAAGGUGUUAUCUCCUCAGCUUGAAAGGUUGCUUUCUUUGUGUGCACACUACACUUUUUGCACCUUUGAUUUCAGCAACGGGUCAAUUAUGUGUAUUAACUCUGGUGGUUUUUGCCAAGCCAUUAGGUGCCAGCAUUUGUCUUUUACAAGGCACACCAUAUGGAUUUUAUUGAUCGUGAGUGGUCUUAACAGAACAUUUUAAGACCCACAUAAACAUUUACUGUAACAAUGCACCCAUUUGGACAGGGGAGAAUUCAUAAUGCAGUGCUGUAAAUCUAAAUUAGUCUAAGUGUCUCUGUAGAUAUUUCUGCCUAUGCAGCUCAUCAUGAUGUUAUUUGUUCUGGAUGCAUUUCAGCGGCCGUGAUUACUCUUGAUAUGUUGUAACUUACUUCUAAUGUCUCAUAUGUUGUUUCUCACUGCAAGCAAAGGCUGGUGGUUACCAGGAAAUAGAUGUAAAGUAGCUUGGAAUACAACUUAGACAAGUAUAUUAUAAUUAUAACAUAAAUCAUAAUCAUGACAAUGCAUAUCAUGAAUAGGACUUUAUGGAUAAUUGUGAUGAUACAGCCGUGUUUCACUAAUAAUAUUUGUUAUUUAGUAAGUUAUUUUUAUGACUUAGUUUCUCCUAAUUAAAACUUUUUGUCAUUAUUGCUGAAAUUUUUACUGUGUUUGGACAGUAUUAUUAAUACUUAAAAAGCUAGUUAC
rnacentral:lncRNA from 1 species